AGCCAAGAUUGCUCCAUUGCACUCCAACCUCAGCGAUAGAGCGAGACUCCGUUUCAAACAACAAAAAAUACAUGAAUGUAAGUAACUAAAAAACAAAACCAAAAAUUCUCAAGCUGCUCCCCGCUCCCAGCUCUCUGUCAGGCCCAGGCAACCCCAGGGUAGGGCCCCGAGGCCUGUCCUGUCUUCCUGGAUUCUGCACCUCCUCCCCGGCCCCUUUCGGCCCUCCUGUGCUCCCUCCAUGCCCCUCUCUAGGCUGCUCCGGGUCUAUCUGUGGAUUUGUCCUGGUCCUCAUCCCUCCUGCCUUAGCCUGCGAAGUUGCUCCUGCUUGCCGGGGAGGUGAAUUGGGGCUAGCAGGCUGCACUCCAUCAUCUCCAUGACACCUCGCCUAAUUACACCGCGUGCUAUUCAUCUGGAUGUCAGCG
rnacentral:lncRNA from 1 species